AGGUUGAUUUUAAAAUUAUUUCAAUCAUAGUCCAUACAUUGUAUUUUUAUAUGACCGUGCAUAGACCUGUUAACUAUAAUAUGUUAGUAUAUUAAGUUAGUUUACUUUAGUUAAUAAAUAGUAGCAAAUUGGUCUAUGAUCUCAAUGUUCUAAUGCUCAAUCACAACUGACAACUGUGCACAGCGAAUACUCUCGGUGACUAACGUCUACCGUAACUAGAUGAAUAGGUACCAUACACUGUUCAUCGUAUUGCGAAGGUGAUCAAAUGUGUAUUCCAAAAUCUAAUGAAUGCAAAUCUACAAAUUAUACAAAUAUCACUCAAACUGUUAAAGCAUUUGAACUCAUGCAAUAUUUACGCGAAUAUGAAGUCUUAACGUGAUAUAAGACUGAAAACUAAUGAUGAUAAUCGUAUUUCGACACAAAGUUGUAUUAAUGUCAGCUAGUCAAUAUUUUCGGGCUACGUUUGCUAAUUUUAGUGAAAACAAAAAAGAUAUUGUUGAUAUAUGAAAACUAGAUUUCACUGUUUUAAACAAUAUAUUGGUAGAUUAUAAUUACAGUGGGAAGAUCAUGAUCAGGAAAGAAAAUGUACAGUUUCUCAAGGUUGCAAAAUGUAAUGUCUUACAGUUAGACUAUGUAAAAGGCGCAUGUGCUAAGAUUUUACAGAAACAACUAAAUCCAACCCAUUGUCUUUACACUAGAUCAUCUGCUGAUUUAUCUACAUAACUGUUCAGAAUUGUUAUAAAGUUCUGAAGCAUACAUUGGAAAAAAGUUUCUGUAUGAUAAAUAUAUGUGGUUAAAGGUGAUGAAUUUCUAUCUCUAUCUACUGAAUAAUUGAUUAUGCUAAACUCUGGUAAUGUUCUUAAUGCCCCUGUUUCUUGAAGAAAAAGUGUAUAUGACUGUGUUAUUAAUUGGGUAAAGCAUGAAUUAAACGUUAGAUAUGAUAGUUUGGCGAAAGUAAUAGAACAUGUAUGUUUGCCUUUAGCAUCAUUAGAGUGCAUACGAUGAAUGUAGUCAAAUGAACCUCUUUUUAAAAAUUUUCCUAAAAUUAAAGAUUAUUUAAUCAAAGCUUUUCAAUUUCGUAUACUUAAGACUCAACAACUAACUAUUCCACAAACUAUUCGAAAUACACCUAGAAUGUCUGGACAAAAGGUUAUUCUAGUAUUCAGGCGUUCACGUGGAACCUUGUGUAUGAUCCAACAACUAACUUAACGCAGCAGCAUUUACCAGAAACCAGUUUGAUGGAUUAUUUUUGUGUAAAUAAGCUUUACUUAAUAUCAAAGAAUAUUUUGUUAUUCUUUCUGAAAGUU